rnacentral:rRNA from 1 species
GACGAACGCUGGCGGCGUGCUUAACACAUGCAAGUCGAACGGAAAGGCCCUGCUUUUGUGGGGUGCUCGAGUGGCGAAGGGGUGAGUAACACGUGAGUAACCUGCUCUUCUCUUUGGGAUGACUUCAGGAAAGUGGGGCUAAUAGCGGAUAGGAGCUCCCGCUGCAUGGUGGGGGGUGGAUAGUUUCGGCGGUUGGGGAUGGACUCGCGGCUUAUCAGCUUGUUGGUGGGGUAGUGGCUUACCAAGGCUUGGACGGGUGGCCGGCCUGAGAGGGGGACCGGCUCCACGGGGCCGGAGAUACGGCGCAGCCUCGAAUGGGAGGCAGCGGUGGGGAGUAUUAUACAAUGGGCGGAAGCCGGAGGUGACAACGCCGCGUGCGGGAAGCCGUCCUGCGGGUUGUGAACCGCUGCCGCCUGAGACGAAGCGUUAGUGACGGUACUGGGUGAAGAAGCACCGGCUAACUACGUG